rnacentral:lncRNA from 1 species
GACGAGUUCUGACUUGAGAUUUUGUAAGGGAUGAUCUAUGAAGGGUGUAACCAAUAUUUGACAAAUAAUUUGGCCUUUAGAAUUGAUAACCAAUUCCGUUUCAUCUCCCUCUUCUUCCUAAUACUUUCCCCCACACACUGGUAUUCUUUAUGUGUGCACACACACAAAUUCCUUCUAUACAAAGCAGUGUCAGCUUCUGACACGGCUUACUAUUAGAGCACAACCCAAUCUUAUCAAAUCUCAAGAGAGGGCUCAGCUCUUCCUGAUUAACUCCAGCAAAAUGAUACCAACAAGAGAAGCCCAUGAUGUAAAACUAAAUCUGCUGGCAGGAUGGCACAAGUAGACGGGAGGCCGGGAGGAGGCUCAGUUGCAGCAGCUGAAAGAAGUCAAGGCUGUGAAGUAGAACAUAAAAUAUGAAGAUAUUUCUGGUAACAAUCCAUAUGCGAGCUAUGCACCUCUCUCUUAAAAUUCGAUACGAUGGAAAAUGCGGAAAGGCCAAAAGUCCUGAACAGAAUUUGAUUUUCCUUCCUUCAUCAUAAGUGAACUCAUUUGAAUUAAGCAUCAUCCUUCCUUCAAAAAGCAAAAUUCAUUAUAUUACCUUAUUUUUUAAAGAUCAAUAAAUUUUAUUCUACAGAAAACUCUUCUUUAACUCAAGACAUAUUUAAU